rnacentral:rRNA from 1 species
UGAGGAAUAUUGGGCAAUACCCGCAAGGGUGACCCAGCAACGCCGCGUGGAGGAUGAAUGUCGUAAGAUUGUAAACUCCUGUUAGAGGGGAAGAAUAGUACCGGUUGGACCGGUAUAUGACUGUACCCUCAGAGAAAGCCCCGGCUAACUACGUGCCAGCAGCCGCGGUAAUACGGAGGGGGCAAGCGUUGUCCGGCUUUACUGGGUGUAAAGGGCGCGCAGGCGGGAUAAAAAGUCAGUGGUGAAAUCCUACAGCUUAACUGUAGAACUGCCUUUUAUACUUUUACUCUGGAGUGCGGGAGAGAGAGACGGAAUUCCAGGUGUAGUGGUGAAAUACGUAGAUAUCUGGAAGAACACCAGUUGCGAAGGCGGUCUCUUGGUCCGACACUGACGCUGAGGCGCGAAAGC